rnacentral:rRNA from 1 species
GCCUACGGGAGGCAGCAGUGGGGAAUAUUGGACAAUGGGCGAAAGCCUGAUCCAGCCAUGCCGCGUGUGUGAAGAAGGUCUUCGGAUUGUAAAGCACUUUAAGUUGGGAGGAAGGGCAGUAAGCUAAUACC